CGGCGGACGGGUGAGUAAUGCCUAGGAAUCUGCCUGGUAGUGGGGGACAACGUUUCGAAAGGAACGCUAAUACCGCAUACGUCCUACGGGANAAAGCAGGGGACCUUCGGGCCUUGCGCUAUCAGAUGAGCCUAGGUCGGAUUAGCUAGUUGGUGAGGUAAUGGCUCACCAAGGCGACGAUCCGUAACUGGUCUGAGAGGAUGAUCAGUCACACUGGAACUGAGACACGGUCCAGACUCCUACGGGAGGCAGCAGUC
rnacentral:rRNA from 1 species